rnacentral:rRNA from 1 species
AGAGUUUGAUCCUGGCUCACGGAUCAACGCUGGCGGCGUGCCUAAUGCAUGCAAGUCGGCACGGGGUGGUCUUCGGACCGCUUACGUGGCGGACGGGUGAGGGAACACGUGGGCAACCUGCCCGGUGUGGGGGGCUAGCCUUCGGAAACGGAGGGUAAAUUCCGCAUAAGCUGGCCGAUCGAUGGGGUUGGUCAGGAAAGCCGUAAGGCGCCGCCGAGGGGUCUGCAUCCGAUUAGUUAGUUGGUGGGGUAACGGCUCACCAAGGCGAUGAUCGGUAGCUGGUUUGAGAGGAUGAUCAGCCACACGGGGACUGAGACACGGCCCCGACUCCUACGGGAGGCAGCAGCAAGGAAUUUUCCGCAAUGGGCGCAAGCCUGACGGAGCAACGCCGCGUGCGGGAUGACGCUUUUCGGAGUGUAAACCGCUGUUCGUGGGGACGAAGCACUGACGGUACCCACGGAGGAAGGCCCCGGCUAACUACGUG